ACACCACUAUUUACGCUAACCCCAAGUGGGUGAUGACCUGUCAGCUUUCCUCCCUGUAACCCAAAUACCCAGCAAGAACCACUUAGAGGAGGGAAAGUUUAUUUGGGGCUCAAGUUUUCAAAGUCUCAGUCCAUAGGUGGCUGACUCCGUUGCUCUGGGCCCCAGGUGAGGCCGGACACCAGGGCAGAAGGACCCAGCUAAAGGAGGCUGCUCAGCUCGUGGGGGUCAAGAGGCAGAGAGAGCUCUUCUUCCAGGGACGGUAUCUAGAGGUACUCAGAAUGGUUCAGCGCUUGACAACCGUCGUAGGCUUUCCUACAACA
rnacentral:lncRNA from 1 species